GGGCCCGCACAAGCGGUGGAGCAUGUGGUUUAAUUCGACGCAACGCGAAGAACCUUACCAGGUCUUGACAUCCUGAUUUUGGUUGUUAGAAAUAACUUACUUCAGUUCGGCUGGAUCAGUGACAGGUGCUGCAUGGCUGUCGUCAGCUCGUGUCGUGAGAUGUUGGGUUAAGUCCCGCAACGAGCGCAACCCUCACUUUUAGUUGCCAUCAUUAAGUUGGGCACUCUGAAAGAACUGCCAGUGAUAAGCUGGAGGAAGGUGGGGAUGACGUCAAGUCCUCAUGGCCCUUACGUGUUGGGCUACACACGUGCUACAAUGGCAUUUACAAUAGGAAGCAAGAUGGCGACAUCAAGCAAAUCCUAAAAAGAUGCCUCAGUUCGGAUUGUACUCUGCAACUCGAGUACAUGAAGCUGGAAUUACUAGUAAUCGC
rnacentral:rRNA from 1 species